GUAGGUGGCAAGCGUUGUCCGGAAUUAUUGGGCGUAAAGCGCGCGCAGGUGGUUCUUUAAGUCUGAUGUGAAAGCCCCCGGCUCAACCGGGGAGGGUCAUUGGAAACUGGGGAACUUGAGUGCAGGAGAGGAAAGUGGAAUUCCACGUGUAGCGGUGAAAUGCGUAGAUAUGUGGAGGAACACCAGUGGCGAAGGCGACUUUCUGGCCUGUAACUGACACUGAGGCGCGAAAGCGUGGGGAGCAAACAGGGAUUAGAUACCCUGGUAGUCCACGCCGUAAACGAUGAGUGCUAAGUGUUGGGGGGGUUUCCCGCCCCUCAGUGCCCGCAGCCAACGCAUUAAGCACUCCGCCUGGGGAUACGGUCGCAAGACUG
rnacentral:rRNA from 1 species